ensembl:lncRNA
GGUAAAGAUAAAAUUAGCUGCCUUCUUUUUCUCUAACAUUGGAAAAUGUAACUUGUACUUAAACAAAUUAUAUUUUGCAGAUCGAACUAGGAAGUGCAGUCAGUGCUGGUGUGUGAUUGCAGCCAAAGACCGGGUACACUAUGACAUGUCCUUAGCCAUAUAGAUUGUUUAUUUAAUGGACUUUGUUCAUUUGUUUUUUGUUUGUUUAUUUCUUCUUCUUUUUUUUUUUUAAAUUCACAGGUGCAGUGCCAGAAAUGUGGUGCAUACAAGCACAUGCGUUGUUCAAAGUCUGUUUGUGGCAUCUGUAUCUUCUGUGAGAGUAAGUCACAAUAUAACUAAACAAUGUCCAAAAAUGUUUAAAGUGAAAAAAAUUUCGUAAUUUUGCCUUUGCACACCCGGACUGUGUAAUUAAAGUGGACGUUUCAAGAUCCAGUUUUUACACAAAACUAUUUUAGACAUAACUGUGUCGUAUUGUGGGGAUUUCUCUUCACAAUUAAAUUGAUAUAGUGCUGUUUAUAUCAUUCUUCUUUAUGUAACAGCACAGUGCAGCACAGCAGAGGGAAAGGAGUUGUGCAGCAUAGUAGGUGGCUAUACAGGAGGAGCAAUAGAAGUAGCCAGUGAAGAAUGUCAUCAGGGAAAGCAUCAGGCAGCGAAUGACAAAGGAAAAGUUCCUAAGGGAGAGAACAUCUGCAGCAAAUCGACAAGUAACAGUGAGAUAGGAGGACUGACAGUCAGAGAUGAAGGCACACAGACUGAAAGAGAUGAAGGUACACAGACUGAAAGAGAUGAAGGUACACAGACUGAAGACAACGAAAAAGAAGCAGAAGUAUACGGCACAAGUCUGAGUACAGAUAAUGCUGCUGCUGAUGAUGUUGACAGGAUCGAUGCAGAUACAGAAUUCCAAACUGAUUCAGAAGGAACUAGUACAGUUUACAGAGUGCAUGGUCGCUUAUCUGUACCAAGCUCAAAAAAGAAAACCUACACAAUAACAGAAGACGAGAUCAAGCGCAGAAUCAACGCAGAGAACAUGUCAGUUCAUGUUUUCAGAGGUUUGAUUGGGGUAGGUAUACAUUUCGUGAUUUUGAUGUCACCUGAAAUAAAUCCGGGUUACUCGUAUCAAUGAAGUGACAAUGUGGCUGGAAAUUGUGCAUUUGCUGCAACAUAUACACAAUUACACCAUGUAAACAAAAGCAUUUAACUUUGUGCGCGUGUGUGUCUCUCUCUCUGCUCUUUUGGUGUUUGCACUUUUUCUUUUUUAGGGCUGUAAAGCCAAACUGCCCGCAAUGAUUCUUGACAGGCCUAAGAAGGCCAAAACUAAAGUAACAGUGUUUAGUGUUCUGAGUGAAGAGGAGGCUGGGGAGCUAGCCCUCGGGUUUGCCGGAAGAUUGGCCUGCGAUGUCACAACAGACAUGGUCUGUAAAGGCAUCGACCAUUCAAGUGCUGAUAUGACAAAACAGACUCUUCUCAAAAUCCAACACAAUCUUAAACAUGAGCUGACUGAUUCCUCAACCUUCAGUUUGCUGACA